GACGGGGGAUGCAAGUGUUAUCCGGAAUCACUGGGCGUAAAGCGUCUGCAGGUGGUUUCCUAAGUCCACUGUUAAACCUUGAGGCUCAACCUCAAAUCUGCAUUGGAAACUAGGAGACUUGAGUAUAGUAGGGGUAGAGAGAAUUUCCAGUGGAGCGGUGAAAUGCGUAGAUAUUGGAAAGAACACCGAUGGCGAAGGCACUCUACUGGGCUAUUACUGACACUCAGAGACGAAAGCUAGGGGAGCAAAUGGG
rnacentral:rRNA from 1 species